UCCCUGGUGGUCCAAUGGUUAAGACUCUGCUCUGUCAAUGCAGGGGGCCUGGGUUCAAUCCCUGGCUAGGGAA